AGAUGGGGUGUCACUCUGUCAUCCAUGCUGGAGUGCAGUGGCUCCAUCUCAGCUCACUGAAACCUCUGACCCCCGGGUUCAAGCGAUUCUUCUGCCUCAGCCUCCGGAGUAGCUGGGAUUACAGGUGUGAGCCACCGCCCCCGGCCUGUGUAUGUAUUUUGUUUCAAUUGUGUGUGUGUGUGGUGGUCGGGGGGAAGUAAAGAAAGUCUUGGCCAAUUCAAGCAAAAGAAGAACUCCAUAAAAAACUGAGGCUUUGGGUUCUAAAGAAAUUUACAUGGGGAGAGAGUACAUAUGGUGAGCCACUGUUGAGAUUGGG
ensembl:lncRNA novel transcript, antisense to FMN2